CAUGUCCGUCAGCAACGUAAUGGCUAGCUCUAUACCGUUAGCAACGGGAUGAGGUUAGCUCAUCUCCGUCAGCAACGAAUGGCUAGCUCUAUACCAUUAGCAACAGGAUGAGGUUAGCUCAUCUCCGUCAGCUACGUGAUGGCUAGCUCAUCUCCGUCAGCAACGUGAUGGCUAGCUCUAUACCGUUAGCAACGGGAAGAGGUUAGCUCAUCUCCGUCAGCAACGGGAAGAGGUUAGCUCAUCUCCGUCCGCAACGUGAUGGCUAGCUCAUCUCCGUCAGCAACGUGAUGGCUAGCUCUAUACCGUUAGCAACGGAAUGAGGUUAGCUCAUGUCCGUCAGCAACGUAAUGGCUAGCUCUACACCGUUAGCAACGGGAUGAGGUUAGCUCAUCUCCGUCAGCAACGUGAUGGCUAGCUCUAUACCGUUAGCAACGGAAUGAGGUUAGCUCAUGUCCGUCAGCAACGUAAUGGCUAGCUCUACACCGUUAGCAACGGGAUGAGGUUAGCUCAUCUCCGUCAGCAACGUGAUGGCUAGCUCUAUACCGUUAUUAACGGGAAGAGGUUAGCUCAUCUCCGUCAGCAACGUGAUGGCUAGCUCUAUACCGUUAUUAACGGGAAGAGGUUAGCUCAUCUCCGUCAGCAACGUAAUGGCUAGCUCUAUACCAUUAGCAACGUGAUGAGGUUAGCUCAUCUCCGUCAGCAACGUGAUGGCUAGCUCUAUACCGUUAGCAACGGAAUGAGGUUAGCUCAUGUCCGUCAGCAACGUAAUGGCUAGCUCUAUACCGUUAGCAACGGGAUGAGGUUAGCUCAUCUCCGUCAGCAACGUGAUGGCUAGCUCUACACCGUUAGCAACGGGAUGAGGUUAGCUCAUCUCCGUCAGCAACGUGAUGCGGUAAGCACUACACCGAGAUGGCAGGCAGUCGAGGCAGUAUUUACGUAUUUAAAUAUUUAUAAUUAAAAUUACUUGAGGUGUAAUCAUUUUGUAUAAAUAAUCUAAUAAUCUCCACGAAUCAAAAAACUGUUCACAAGUUCAGUCUUUUAGGUCUUCAAGACUUAAUGUCUGUCAAUGUAAAUAUUUGACAUCAAUAAGAUGUUCAAGAAGGACCAUUAACAAGCACUGAGGGAACCACAGAUAAAACAAUCAUGUAUUUUUGGCUGUGUCCAAUAGGGCUGUCAACGAAUAUUCUAAAUUCGAAUAUAUAUUCCAAUAGUUAAAACAACUAUUCGAAUGUGAAAAUUAAUAUUCAAAUGUAGAUUAACAAAAUAGACUAGAUGGGCUACAACAGCUUCAUGCACUGGUUUGAUUAUUUGACGUUUCAUGCCAUGUUUACCACAGCACAGCUCGCUCGGAGCGUUUAAUGUCGGUUCAUACUGUAAAACUUCAAUUAAUGUUAAUACUAUUUGUUUCAGUCACUGAAUGAAGCCUGCCAUAUUUUGGACAAGAAUAGCGAGCUUAAAAUGCUUG